rnacentral:rRNA from 1 species
UACGGAGGAUGCGAGCGUUAUCCGGAUUUAUUGGGUUUAAAGGGUGCGUAGGCGGGAUGCCAAGUCAGCGGUCAAAUACGGGGGCUCAACCUGCGUCCGCCGUUGAAACUGGCGUUCUUGAGUGGGCGAGAAGUACGCGGAAUGCGUGGUGUAGCGGUGAAAUGCAUAGAUAUAACUUAGAACACCGAUAGCGAAGGCAGCUUACCAGACUGAGUCUGACGCUGAUGCACGAGAGCAUGGGUAGCGAACAGG